UACGAAGGGGGCUAGCGUUGCUCGGAAUCACUGGGCGUAAAGCGCACGUAGGCGGGUCUUUAAGUCAGGGGUGAAAUCCUGGAGCUCAACUCCAGAACUGCCUUUGAUACUGAGGAUCUCGAGUCCGGGAGAGGUGAGUGGAACUCCGAGUGUGGAGGUGAAAUUCGUAGAUAUUCGGAAGAACACCAGUGGCGAAGGCGGCUCACUGGCCCGGUACUGACGCUGAGGUGCGAAAGCGUGGGGAGCAAACAGG
rnacentral:rRNA from 1 species